rnacentral:sRNA from 3 species
GGGUGCAAGGAUCGCCACCAGUCAGCGCGUUGCGCCCACUGGUGCGCUUGUC